GGCCGAUGACGACCCGCGGCUCCGAGCCGGCCUGACGACCCGGCCGUGACGACCCCUAUGAGUUCCGAGGCC
rnacentral:snoRNA from 1 species